rnacentral:rRNA from 1 species
CGAGUUUCUGGGACGUUUGUCCGCUUUCUAAUACAAGUUCUAGCUUGCUAGACAUGACUUUUUUAUUAUCUGGCCUCAAAUCAGGUAGGACUACCCGCUGAACUUAAGCAUAUCAAUAAGCGGAGGAAAAGAAACUAACAAGGAUUCCCCUAGUAACGGCGAGUGAAGGCGGGAAGAGCUCAAAUUUGAAAUCUGGUGGCCUCAGGCUAUCCGAGUUGUAAUCUAUAGAAACAUUUUCCGCGUUGGCCCAUGUACAAGUCUCUUGGAAUAGAGCGUCAUAGAGGGUGAGAAUCCCGUCCUUGACAUGGACUACCAGUGCUUUGUGAUAUGUUUUCAACGAGUCGAGUUGUUUGGGAAUGCAGCUCAAAAUGGGUGGUAAAUUCCAUCUAAAGCUAAAUAUUGGCGAGAGACCGAUAGCGAACAAGUACCGUGAGGGAAAGAUGAAAAGCACUUUGGAAAGAGAGUUAAACAGUAUGUGAAAUUGUUGAAAGGGAAACGAUUGAAGUCAGUCGUGUCUAUUGGACUCAGCCGGUUCUGCCGGUGUACUUCCUUUAGAUGGGGUCAACAUCAGUUUUGAUCGCUGGAAAAGGGCAGGAGGAAUGUAGCACUCUCGGGUGAACUUAUAGCCUUCUGUCGCAUACAGUGGUUGGGACUGAGGAACGCAGCUUGCCUUUAUGGCCGGGAUUUAUCCACGUACAAGCUUAGGAUGUUGACAUAAUGGCUUUAACA